rnacentral:sRNA from 1 species
AGCCUAAACCCUUGAGUAAUCAGUGGCAUGGCGAAAAAGUCCCGGAAAGACGUAAAAAACCCAUCAUAUGGGGUUGUCUUUCCGGGCCAUACAGGGAAACUUGUAUGAACGAUUUCGGUCGUU